GAUAUGGACGCUAAACGGCCUCAUGGCGUCAAGGUGAAGUUGUUUUAGUGAGACACAAAAACUUAAGAAGGAAAAAAACGAAGGACAAAAGGACAACCAGAGGAUAAAGGAGUGACUGUGGAAUAUUUCGGAGCUCCAGGCAUUAAAGCAGAGGGAGCUUCAGCUCCAGGACCUAUAUAUUGUUCAGGACCCACUUUCUGACCAGGAAAUACCAGAUGCAGACUGACCAGUAAGCAGCUGGGACCUCGUCAUCAGAGACUCAAAUGUCAUAAACCAGUAGAUCCAGCUGACUGCCUGUUAGUUCUCUUUGAUAUGUAAAUGCAUGUGAACAGCAGGCGGGAACCGUAGACCUCAGUCUGGAUCCAUCUGGACACUUAACAGAUCAAACUGCAGCUUGAGUCUGUGGCUGUUUGCAGAGAAAAAACUCAGUUCCUUAUCUACAACAGAGGAAGUGCACACAUUCAUACUUUGAUCUCCUUUACUGUAAGGGCAUAUCCACAACACACAUUUCCUCUGGCCAAUGAAUGCCUCAGGAGCUGGAGACUGUUGUUGGAGAGAGGGAUGUCUGGGUUUUCCUCCUGGACCUGUAGCUUCUGCACCUCACCUCAGAUAAGUGUUUGUCCUCUUUGUAGCUGUGCUCAGCGGAUCUGCGUCCUCUGAAGUGGUAUGACAGGGCGUUAAACUGACCCUUGGUUCUGCAGUCUGCAGGGGUGUCAAAACCAGAGGGUCCAGACUGGCUCUGAGAUGAAUUUGCCGUUUGUACUGCACUACCAGCAGACACAUGAGGGUGGGCCCCAAUCUGCUGCCAGGGACCAGGUCUUCAGCCAUCAGAGCCGGAAACAGAUCAAUGUUGAGAGGAGAACCGUACAGUCUGC